CCUACGGGUGGCAGCAGUUUCGAAUCAUUCACAAUGGGCGAAAGCCUGAUGGUGCGACGCCGCGUGGGGGACGAAGGUCUUCGGAUUGUAAACCCCUGUCACCGGGGAAGCUUAACCCGGAGAGGAAGCAGUGGCUAACUCUGUGCCAGCAGCCGCGGUAAUACAGAGACUGCAAGCGUUAUUCGGAUUCACUGGGCGUAAAGGGUGCGCAGGCGGCCGUGUGUGUCAGGUGUGAAAGCCCGGGGCUUAACCCCGGAAUUGCGCCUGAAACUACAUGGCUAGAGCAUUGGAGAGGGUAGCGGAAUUCACGGUGUAGCAGUGAAAUGCGUAGAUAUCGUGAGGAACACCAGAGGCGAAGGCGGCUACCUGGACAAUGCUGACGCUCAGGCACGAAAGCGUGGGGAGCAAAAGGGAUUAGAUACCCUUGUAGUC
rnacentral:rRNA from 1 species